rnacentral:rRNA from 1 species
UGAGGAAUAUUGGUCAAUGGACGCAAGUCUGAACCAGCCAAGUAGCGUGCAGGAUGACGGCCCUAUGGGUUGUAAACUGCUUUUAUAUGGGGAUAAAGUGGGGAACGUGUUCCCUUUUGCAGGUACCAUAUGAAUAAGGACCGGCUAAUUCCGUGCCAGCAGCCGCGGUAAUACGGAAGGUUCGGGCGUUAUCCGGAUUUAUUGGGUUUAAAGGGAGCGUAGGCCGUUUGGUAAGCGUGUUGUGAAAUGUAGGAGCUCAACUUCUAGAUUGCAGCGCGAACUGGCAGACUUGAGUGCGCACAACGUAGGCGGAAUUCAUGGUGUAGCGGUGAAAUGCUUAGAUAUCAUGACGAACUCCGAUUGCGAAGGCAGCUUACGGGAGCGCAACUGACGCUAAAGCUCGAAGGUGCGGGUAUCGAACAGG